GGUCCCGUGGUGUAGCGGUUAACAUGCCUGCCUGUCACGCAGGAGAUCGCCGGUUCGAUCCGGUCGGGACCGCCA
rnacentral:tRNA from 1 species